rnacentral:rRNA from 1 species
GAUGAACGCUGGCGGCGUGCCUAAUACAUGCAAGUCGAGCGAACAGAUGAGGAGCUUGCUCCUCUGACGUUAGCGGCGGACGGGUGAGUAACACGUGGAUAACCUACCUAUAAUACUGGGAUAACUUCGGGAAACCGGAGCUAAUACCGGAUAAUAUAUUGAACCGCAUGGUUCAAUAGUGAAAUACGGUUUUGCUGUCACUUAUAGAUGGAUCCGCGCCGCAUUAGCUAGUUGGUAAGGUAACGGCUUACCAAGGCAACGAUGCGUAGCCGACCUGAGAGGGUGUUCGGCCACACUGGAACUGGGACACGGUCCAGACUCCUACGGGAGGCAGCAGUAGGGAAUCGUUCGCAAUGGGCGAAAGCCUGAAGGAGCCACGCCGCGUGAGUGAUGAAGGUCUUCGGAUCGUAAAACUCUUUUAUUAGGGAAGAACAAAUGUGUAAGUAAGUAUGCACGUCUUGACGGUACCUAAUAAGAAAGCCACGGCUAACUACGUG